rnacentral:rRNA from 1 species
CAAAGGUAGCAUAAUCAUUAGAGGCUUAAUUGGAAUCUAGAAUGAAAGGUUGGACAAAGAGAAAAGCUGUCUCUAUAAUAACCAUUGAAAUUUACUUUUAAGUGAAAAGGCUUAAAUAAAUCAGAGGGACGAUAAGACCCUAUAAAGCUUUGAUACGUUGAUUAAAGCUGGUUGAUUUAGAUUAUAAAAAUUAAAUGUAGUCGUCUUAUUUUGUUGGGGUGAUGAGAAUAUAAUUUAGAAUAACUGUUUGAAGAUAAUACUAAAUAUAAUAGAAUUUAAAAUAUGAUCCUUUCUAAAGAUUAAAAGAUUAAGUUACUUUAGGGAUAACAGCGUUAUUUUUUUUGAGAGUUCAUAUCGAAAAAGAAGAUUGCGACCUCGAUGUUGAAUUAAAUUGUCUAUAUAAUGCAGCCGUUAUAAGAGAAGGUCUGUUCGACCUUUAAAUUUUUACAUGAUUUGAGUUCA